rnacentral:snoRNA from 1 species
UUGGGACAUUGACAUGGCCUAGGGGAGAUGACUGGAUAGAAAGUAUUCUUGUAUUCAUUUACCUCUUAGUCCUACAAAA